rnacentral:rRNA from 1 species
ACCCCUACGGGAGGCAGCAGUGGGGAAUAUUGCACAAUGGGCGAAAGCCUGAUGCAGCCAUGCCGCGUGUGUGAAGAAGGCCUUCGGGUUGUAAAGCACUUUCAGUUGUGAGGAAGGUGUGUAGGUUAAUAGCGCACAUCUUUGACGUUAGCUGCAGAAGAAGCACCGGCUAACUCCGUGCCAGCAGCCGCGGUAA